rnacentral:rRNA from 1 species
UUAAAUUGAAGAGUUUGAUCAUGGCUCAGAUUGAACGCUGGCGGCAGGCCUAACACAUGCAAGUCGAACGGUAACAGGAAACAGCUUGCUGUUUCGCUGACGAGUGGCGGACGGGUGAGUAAUGUCUGGGAAACUGCCUGAUGGAGGGGGAUAACUACUGGAAACGGUAGCUAAUACCGCAUAACGUCGCAAGACCAAAGAGGGGGACCUUAGGGCCUCUUGCCAUCGGAUGUGCCCAGAUGGGAUUAGCUAGUAGGUGGGGUAAAGGCUCACCUAGGCGACGAUCCCUAGCUGGUCUGAGAGGAUGACCAGCCACACUGGAACUGAGACACGGUCCAGACUCCUACGGGAGGCAGCAGUGGGGAAUAUUGCACAAUGGGCGCAAGCCUGAUG